GAACCCGCGGAGCCAGGCGCAGGCGGCGGGACGGCAGCAGGCGUGCGGGGCCAGGGAGCGGGCGCGGCCUGGCAGGGCGACCGGCGAGGGGCGUGCCGGGUGGGAGGGGCGCGCUGGCCGCCUGGCCGGCCCCACGCGGGGACCCCAGCCCGCCGCCCGCCCGCCCGCGCGGGGACGCGCCGGCCAGGCCCGAGCGGGCGGGCAGGCGGGCGAGCAGGGGGCGGGCGGCAGACCGAACAAAAACGCCUUUGUUGAGCGGCAGCCGCCGGAGGGUCACACACAAUGGAGGAGGGAGCCGGCUCCGCCGUCGCCGCCGCCGCCGCCGCCGCCGGGCCCGCCGCGGCGCCCUCCCGAGCCGCCCCGCCGGCGCACCCCGCACACGUACACACACACACUCACGGGACUUCUCCGACUCAUCGAGAGAGUGCGGGGCUCGCGGACUGCCCCCAGUGUCGGCUCAGGUCUCCGGCUGUGCUGGCGGCAGCGGCGUCUCCGAGGCUCUCGCUUUGCCGCAGUCGCCGCCAUGUAACCCCGACCCGCGAGAGAGGGCGAGGAAGAGGGGGCGGGGCUUCGCGGUGCCACGCCCCCUCACGUCACAGGCUCACUCCACGGGUUCUCCCGCCCCCGCCCUGCCCAGCGCACCCGCACGCGCCGGAAUUUCCAGCGCCCGUGACUGGGCUGCGCGCGCCGCGGAGGCGGUGGGAAAGGCACGCGGCUCGUCCGGCGUCUCCUGGGGGCUUUGCCUGCGGGCGGGCAGGGAGGAAGACAGCUGGGGCCGUUUGCUCUACUACCUGCCCUGGCAUUAAGGGAACAAAGUGACCAAACCCAGUGCCAGCGUUUACUAAGCACCUACUACGUGCAAGGCACUGGGCAAUCCGAGAGGAAGAGGCCUCAGUCUCCAGGAAGGGUGGACCUUAAGAUGGAUUGGCUGGAAGGCGACAGCCCGAGCACAAGACAGACGCGUUAGAGGCCAAUACUAAGGUCAUUCAUUCUGCCAGAGUAUGGAGGAAGGCUUUCAGGAGUGGUCGCCAAGGUGGCCUUUCAGCUGGAUCCCGGAGGAGCGGAUAUAACCAGGAGGGCACUUCACAGCCUUCUGUGCUUAGGAACUCUAUACAGCACUUCAGCAAUAGAUUUGGGGGCCACUUUAAACAGCAAAAUCACCAACGGAAAGCAAAACAUGUGAUGGCUCGGCACAGUGGCAUGUGCCUAUAGUCCCAGCUACUCAGGAGGCUGAGACAGGAGGGUCACUUGAGCCCAGGAGUUUGAGUCCAGCCUGGUCAACAUAGAGAGAUCCUGUUUCUAAAAACAAAAAAAUCAUGGCACCAAAUAGACCAUGGAAAGGACACUCGUUUACAGUACGAGAGUUGAAACAAGAAGGCAGAAUCUUGUCUUGUUUGGCCUCAGCUGGCAACGUUCCCGUAGGGUGACUCAAGUAUCUCGUUACUGUGCAUGUUCAAAAGUGACUACAAAGGUGCUAUGACUACUUCGAGGUUACAAAUAAGUUUCAGCAAUAGGCAAAUUUGCAAACAGAAUCUGUGAAUAAUG
rnacentral:lncRNA from 1 species